AUCACUUCUCAGCCUUUUGGCUAUGAUCAAGUAUCUGUUCUUAUCAGUUUAAUAUCUGAUAUGUCCUCUAUCCAAGGACAAUAUAUUAAAUGGGUUUUUGGAACUAGGGGUUGGAAUAGGAGUCUGCUACGCAUGGACCUGGUAUUGCAGUACCUCCAGGAAAGGUGCACCCCCU
ensembl:snRNA LOC120094027 U2 spliceosomal RNA